GGGGUAGUUAAGUGAACAAUCUGGCUCAGUAGCAGAGCUGGUAGGACACCUGGAAGGUAGCCAAGGUUAUCUCAAGGCAGCCGAGUUAUUUGAUUACUCCACAUGUGCACAUGUUCCUGAUCUGGAAGAUAAAGUUAGGAGAGCAAGCUGUGCUGUCUCCACCAGUCAAGCAAUCCAGAAUGGUACCUUCUGGAACUAGAUCCUGAUGCUUCUCUGCCUUUCAAGCCCAUCUGCUCAGAGGCUCUCUGAAUGGCAA